rnacentral:tRNA from 1 species
GGCGAGUUAGCACAGUGGUUAUGCAGCGGAUUGCAAAUCCGUAGACACCGGUUCGAUUCCGGUACUCGCCUCCA